AAAUUGAAGAGUUUGAUCAUGGCUCAGAUUGAACGCUGGCGGCAGGCCUAACACAUGCAAGUCGAACGGUAACAGGAAGCAGCUUGCUGCUUUCGCUGACGAGUGGCGGACGGGUGAGUAAUGUCUGGGAAACUGCCUGAUGGAGGGGGAUAACUACUGGAAACGGUGGCUAAUACCGCAUAACGUCGCAAGACCAAAGAGGGGGACCUUCGGGCCUCUUGCCAUCAGAUGUGCCCAGAUGGGAUUAGCUUGUUGGUGAGGUAACGGCUCACCAAGGCGACGAUCCCUAGCUGGUCUGAGAGGAUGACCAGCCACACUGGAACUGAGACACGGUCCAGACUCCUACGGGAGGCAGCAGUGGGGAAUAUUGCACAAUGGGCGCAAGCCUGAUGCAGCCAUGCCGCGUGUAUGAAGAAGGCCUUCGGGUUGUAAAGUACUUUCAGCGGGGAGGAAGGUGUUGUGGUUAAUAACCGCAGCAAUUGACGUUACCCGCAGAAGAAGCACCGGCUAACUCCGUGCCAGCAGCCGCGGUAAUACGGAGGGUGCAAGCGUUAAUCGGAAUUACUGGGCGUAAAGCGCACGCAGGCGGUCUGUCAAGUCGGAUGUGAAAUCCCCGGGCUCAACCUGGGAACUGCAUUCGAAACUGGCAGGCUUGAGUCUUGUAGAGGGGGGUAGAAUUCCAGGUGUAGCGGUGAAAUGCGUAGAGAUCUGGAGGAAUACCGGUGGCGAAGGCGGCCCCCUGGACAAAGACUGACGCUCAGGUGCGAAAGCGUGGGGAGCAAACAGGAUUAGAUACCCUGGUAGUCCACGCCGUAAACGAUGUCUACUUGGAGGUUGUGCCCUUGAGGCGUGGCUUCCGGAGCUAACGCGUUAAGUAGACCGCCUGGGGAGUACGGCCGCAAGGUUAAAACUCAAAUGAAUUGACGGGGGCCCGCACAAGCGGUGGAGCAUGUGGUUUAAUUCGAUGCAACGCGAAGAACCUUACCUGGUCUUGACAUCCACAGAACUUUCCAGAGAUGGAUUGGUGCCUUCGGGAACUGUGAGACAGGUGCUGCAUGGCUGUCGUCAGCUCGUGUUGUGAAAUGUUGGGUUAAGUCCCGCAACGAGCGCAACCCUUAUCCUUUGUUGCCAGCGAUUAGGUCGGGAACUCAAAGGAGACUGCCAGUGAUAAACUGGAGGAAGGUGGGGAUGACGUCAAGUCAUCAUGGCCCUUACGACCAGGGCUACACACGUGCUACAAUGGCGCAUACAAAGAGAAGCGACCUCGCGAGAGCAAGCGGACCUCAUAAAGUGCGUCGUAGUCCGGAUUGGAGUCUGCAACUCGACUCCAUGAAGUCGGAAUCGCUAGUAAUCGUGGAUCAGAAUGCCACGGUGAAUACGUUCCCGGGCCUUGUACACACCGCCCGUCACACCAUGGGAGUGGGUUGCAAAAGAAGUAGGUAGCUUAACCUUCGGGAGGGCGCUUACCACUUUGUGAUUCAUGACUGGGGUGAAGUCGUAACAAGGUAACCGUAGGGGAACCUGCGGUUGGAUCACCUCCUUACCUUAAAGAA
rnacentral:rRNA from 1 species